GCCAUGUGAUUAGAGAAAAAAUUCUAAUGUGUGUGAUCUCAUAGAUUCGAACCUAAGUCGGUAGCAUGGAAACUGAUUCCUGUACCAAUCAGAGUAACCAUCUAGCAAUGGUAUCCGAUGUCCGGAUAGGUGAAAUGUAUGCAAAGCAACACUCAAGAACCUAUUUGGAUAUAGUUACUAUAUAAUUUAUCCCUUUGACCCUCGAUGUCAAGGAUUGCCCUAGCCAAGAUCUUACUAAAUUGA
rnacentral:lncRNA from 1 species